CGCUCAAUAGCUAGCCCCCCCCCAAUUUCAACACACCCCUAUUAAUACCCCCUAAAUACCCCCGUAUUUACUUUUAACAAAACAUUUUUCCCCCUUAGUAUAGGAGAUAGAAAAGGAACCUCCGGCGCAAUAGAAAAAGUACCGUAAGGGAAUGCUGAAAGAGAAAUGAAAUAACCCAAUAAAGCCUUAAAAAGCAGAGAUUAAUUCUCGUACCUUUUGCAUCAUGAUUUAGUAAGUGUUUCCCAAGCAAAGCGUACUUUAGUUUGAUACCCCGAAACUACGUGAGCUACUUCAAGACAGCCUAUUAAUAGGGCUAACCCAUCUCUGUGGCAAAAGAGUGGGAAGAACUUUGAGUAGAGGUGACAAACCUACCGAACCUAGUUAUAGCUGGUUGUCCAAGAAAUGAAUAGAAGUUCAGCCUCUAAGCUUCUCCUUUCACCCAAACUUAAUCCCUUUAGAUGUAUUAAAGAAACUAAGAGAGUUAGUCAAAAGAGGUACAGCUCCUUUGAAUCAAGAAACAACUUUAACAGAAGGGUAAAGAUCAUA
rnacentral:rRNA from 1 species